AGUGGAAGCGUCUGGAAAGGCGCGCGAUACAGGGUGACAGCCCCGUACACAAAAGCGCAUGUGCUGUGAGCUCGAUGAGUAGGGCGGGACACGUGGUAUCCUGUCUGAAUAUGGGGGGACCAUCCUCCAAGGCUAAAUACUCCUGACUGACCGAUAGUGAACCAGUACCGUGAGGGAAAGGCGAAAAGAACCCCGGCGAGGGGAGUGAAAAAGAACCUGAAACCGUGUACGUACAAGCAGUGGGAGCACAGGUUUACCUGUGUGACUGCGUACCUUUUGUAUAAUGGGUCAGCGACUUAUAUUCUGUAGCAAGGUUAACCGUAUAGGGGAGCCGUAGGGAAACCGAGUCUUAACC
rnacentral:rRNA from 2 species